UCCUGCACAGAUUUGCUCUUCUUCAUUUGUCCUGUUCUUCAAAUAGCACACCCUGAAUAAUACAUUCCAUCUUUGAUCACUCUGACAAAUCAAAGAGUGAAAACAAGGCCACACAUCUUGUAAAUCAAAGCAUAUUUGAAGUGCACUAUUGCCCACAGUACUUGUGCUGACACUGGCCAGAGGUGUUGGCCAAAAUCAGCUGUGCUGAUUUUGUGAUUAAUAUUCUCUAUAUGUAGCUGGACUGGUUUGUCCAAUUAUUUCAAUUUUCAGCAAGGUCUCUGAGCAAUUAACCCUCUAAAGUUACAUUUGUUGCAGUUUCUCACUAUUUUUUUGAAUACUACAAGUGAGCAUUUUAAAUUAAGUUGUUCUGCAGGUACAAGAAAUAACCUCAACUAAUAAACAAGUAUAUUGCAUUUAAAACAAGAAAAAAUAAGCUUUAGCACUAUGUUUGUUGUGAUAAAAUCCAUAGUUAAAAACAUUGAAGCAAGUCACUAAACAUAAAUAGGUGCAUUACUUACUGCCUCUCAGACAAAACCCAGGCAUUGCUGCAGUGUAGGCAGGAGUACCUAGUUAGCUUAUGACAUUCCUGUAGGGAAUUGCUUUUCAUUCAUGAAAUGUCCAUCCCAGGCACAAAAGUUCCUUCUCAAGGCUUUGUCAUGAUUGCUAAUAAAUAUAUCAUACACUGUGUUGUGUUUAUCAGGCCAUGCUAAUCUCAUUUUGUCUGCACAACAAGGAUUUUAACAGGCUCUUUCAGAGAACACUGAUUUCAAUGCACUUAGCAAUUUACUGGAAAAGACAUUUACAGAUAAAGAAGUGCAUGCUGUAUUCUUUGUACAAAAAUAAAACUCUUUCUCCAAAACCCUGCACAUGCAAAUAUUCCAUGGGGGUGCAUGUGAAGUGCUGGUUUAUUUGUUGUCCUUCUAGGACUCACAUAAAAACACAAUUAAUGAUAAAGCUAUUCAAUUAAAACCCCUCCAUAAAACUGCAAUGUAGAAACAUCAGCAGCUAUGCUGCAACUGCAGGACAUGCUUCAGUGUUUUCCCAGUUGCUUUUAUCCAAAUCUGGAAUGGAAUUUUACCUGGCCUUUAAUAUCUGUUGCAGUUACAGCAGCAGCUUUGCAUAGUGCUCACCAAUUGGCGAUGGAGGGACUUCAUGGGUAGGUGAAACAAGAGAAACAGGGAUAGAAGUUGCAGAAAGAACGUCAUUUAAACUCAGUACUUUGAUUACUUACAUAUGAGUGGUAGUUCUUUUUUAGUAUGUGGAUUCUGAUGCAGAAAUGUGGAAACAUUGAGGUAUGAGAUAGGACAUUACACAGAGGAAAAGCGGGUUUUGAAACAGAAGAAGAAAAGGAGGAGAAGAAGACUUUCUAAAUCAAAAUGACCAUCACCAGAAACAAGGAGAGUUCACUUGGCUUGUUGUUCCCUGGGGAUCUUCCUUCCGCUUUCUGAUGUACAUGUUUGAGGAGGUUCACAUGUCAGGACAGUGAAAAUGUGGAGGCAGCAAAGCUUUUUGUAUUAGUUUUCCUUUAGGCCGACGACAUUGAUAGGAAUGGAAAUAUUUUUAAUGGUACCUCAUUAUUUUUGGAGGUAGCUAAGCCUGACAUUUUCCAUCGAAACACUCUAUACAGUUUUCCAGUUUCCUCUCUCUACCACAUUUCUACUAAGUAGAGAGAAAAUCAGAUGAAAAGUUAAUUUUUACUGGAAAGCUUUAUGCUCUUUUCCAAGAUCAGUUUCCUCAUGUGGUACCAAUAUCUGUUUGGGGUAGAUUAUCAGUUACUGCUCAGAUGGAAGAACCCAGAGGUUCAGAAUCCUUGCAAGCAGAAUAUGGUGGUAUAUAAUUAAGCUGCAAAUAAUUAAUUAAUUGAUUUUAAUUUCAGUGGUAUCUCUGGCCAUAAUUCCAUGGAAAUGUUCAGGCUUCAGGAGCUGUACAGUAAAGUUUCCACAUAACAAAACACUCUACAGAUUUUUAAAGAAAAAAUGGCAAAUAAAAAAACUGUUAAAAUUACUCAGGAGGAGAGAGGUACAUUAAAUGUACCUGAAAAAUGGUACAUGAAUAUGAGGGUAAAUGCUGUUCUUGGAGAAGGAGCAGUAUACAUUAGAGCUGUUUUGCUCAGAAUAAUCAUCAAUUACUGUAUUUAUUGGACAUUUUGCAGUGGCUGUCACUCCUCUGCUGUAUCUAUCAUGUUAAGCUGGGGCAGUGUAGAUGAAAUUCUAUUUUCCAAAACAAGAUUUCCCCCCAGAAUCCUGUAUCUUCACUUAGAGCACAUGGGUUACAUCUCUCCCUACUGAGUCCCAUGGCAAAUGUGCCAUUAACUUCAAGAUGUUAAUCACAGCCAUACAGUCUGAUUUGUAAAUGUUUUUUCCAGUCCUGAGAAGGCAGUUAAAUGCAGGAUAUUUUUACAUAGUUAGCUAAGAUGCAGUCUAAGAACUUAUAAAUAAAGCUCUGUGUGUGGUAUUAUUGUAAAUAAGGAAAUCAGUCCAAGAAGAUUUCCUUUGAGGCUUCAAAGCCUCUGAUAAUUUUUCAGUUAAUUUUCUUAAGAAAGUUGUAGAAAUCUCUGCAUGGGAUUCAAUUAAGAUCAAAGCAAAAAUACAAAAGUAACUGUCUCUUGUAUUUCUAGUUCAGCAGAAGGGGGACAAUUACGUCCCUUACAAGAGCCUAUUUUUGUGAAAUUAGAAUUUAAUUUUCCCUGUAAGGUGGGUCUAGAAUCACUUGCAGAAUAGCAUCCAUCUCACAAAUACUCAUCCAAAUAAGACUUCUAAAUAUUUUGGGAGAAGCUUUCACUUACCACACACAGAGAAUACAUCAUAAUAGCACUGGAAAGUAUUUACAUUUUUCACAUCUUAAAUAUAACAUAGUGUCUGCUUUAAAAUUAGAUUUUCAGUAGCCUUCAGCUCUGGUGUGUCCUAGAUUAGUUCUUGAAUAGCUGUAAAAACAACACAUUGUUAGUAAGGAUUUAAAAUAAGGAAUAUCUGUAAUGGUUUGCAAAAUGUCAAAAAAGCACCCAGGAGGAAUGAACUCUGCUUACCAUCUGCAUUAGAUUUGCAAAGCUCUUCAAAAAUUCUUUGGGGGUUUUCUUCUCAUAAGAUUCACAUGUGUACUCACACUGCUGGAAGAUAAAGAGAGUCAUGCUACUUCUGAAGAGCACAUCACAAUCCUAAAUCAAACCUCAAACUUUCUCACUGAAAAAUCAAGAGGGUUGUAAUCAAUGCCUUUUCUGGCUGCAAAAGCUUUGACACAAGCUUUUUCAAAAGUGAAGGAAUUUAGUAAUGACACCUUUCAUUCACAUUUUUGCAGUGAUCCCUGUCCUUCUGCCAGCACAUUGUGUGGUUGCCAAGUACACAUGUGACUUUUUAGGGUCACAGGGAAUGAUUCUUCCAAAACUGCAAAAAUUGGACUUUUUAAUUUCUGAAUGAUAGGCAGAUUGAUUUUUCAAACAGAUUUGCUUUCUACAGUUCCCCAUUGCAGGGGAACUGUAGAAAAUAAGGAGGAAUGAUGACAAUUAUGCAGCAGGGGAAUCUGCUAUAGAAAAUAAGGAGGAAUGAUGACAAUUAUGAGCAAUGUGAGGAAAUCCUACCUCUCCAGCGUCUCUGCACGUCAAUUUGCUCACAAUUCUAAUGGCUUUGGUGAACUUUGCGUUGUCUUGGCUGCUCGCUGGUUGUAGUUUCUGGAUGCCCUUCUUGAAGCAGGUCACAGCUGUGUACAGACAUGCCUCCUAGAGCAGAAGAAGGAAGUGUUUUAAAGCCAAUGUUGCAGCACUUUUCCCUGCACGUGUUAGAUAGUGGUCCAUGUGCAGAAGAAGGUAUCCAGGAUAUUAACUGAAAAUAUUCAACUGUAUCUUUUUUUUUUUUAAGUUAGUUUUAGAUAUGCAGGUGAUAUUGAGGCUUUACUUUGGCUGUUCUUGCAUAAUUGCUUGAAUUCCACUUGGUAUUAAUCAUGACAGCAUUUGAAAGAAAAUAAUCCUGAAGAUCAGAUCAGUAGGUUUUCACCUGCUAAAGCACAAACAUUUUAUUUUUACAAAAUUAUAAGUAUCUCUCAGUGCUAUGUAUGGGAAUAUACUUUUUGUCUUCCUAAUUUUUGUCCUCUUUCUAAUAAUGCCUAGUUAAUAAUUAGAAUUGACAUAGGACUGUGUAUUUUCAAAUGCUAUUGGAAUGUUCUUAUAUGAUAGCAUCAGAAAUGAUACAGAAACUAUCCCUGUAAGUAAUCUAACCAUCAACAGAGAAAGAAAAGCAAUGUUUACUGAAGCCAAUUUAAGUUGCUUUCUGUUUUCCAAAGAUGGAAGCUGCUGAUUACACAUUUCAGAAAGGCUCCAAAGCCAUCAUGCCUGUUUUGUAUACCAAGAUGAGUCUCGUCUGCCUCCUGAGAUGUCACUGCAGUUUGCUGCUUGGGCAAGGACAAGGCAAGCCUUCAUCAAUGUUGCUUAUAGCAAAUUUUGCUAGCAACAUUCUAUGUUGGUCAGAUAAAACAUUUUAUUUUCCUUAAAAGUCACACAUUUAUGCUUGUUUCAAGCAUCCUUACCGUAAUGGGCCUUGCUUACUGGAAAAAAAAAACACUACUCGUCUUUUAAAGAGAUCGAUUUUCCAGCUGAAACUGAAAACAUUGUCGGUCUCAUCCGUGCUGAGCUGAGAAACCAGCAUUUCUCAUCUGUGCUGCUUCUUCUGUUUUGCUGAGCUGUCACUUAGAGCUGAGGCAGCCAACUCUCAGGGCACCGCAAGGGUUGUGGGGCCCAGCGUGUUGUCACGGGCUGAGCCCUUUGGGGAUGAGCCAUGAAGGAGCACAGACCACUGGAGGUGUCUGAGGGGGGCUAGAAACGUGUGAAAUAUUUGUAUCAGAGGCAGUUGGCAGCAGUACUCUGCAUCUGACUCAAAGUGGCUUUACAGAUGAGCCCGUAGAGCCCUCGCUUCCGGCAUUAGUGAUCGGCGGGGUGAGAUACAGAUCCGGGGCACAUCAGCAUCGUGACACUCAGUGACACUUCAGCUGCCAGUGCCAGCCACCAGCAAGAGAGCUCACUUGCCCUCCAGGGAUCACCUCGGUCUUAGCACUGCUUUUUCAGUCUCAGCCUGUUUCCCCUUGGAUUGAUGUCCUCUAACCUCCCCUCAUUCAAAGGAAAGGAUACUUCAUUGUUGAGGGUACAAGGAAAUUGUGUGGGAUUGAAUUAGGGCUAAUAGUCCACACAACGGAACCCCAAGGAAGCCAAAACAGAUAGGGAUAAACCACCUAAAUCUAAAUGGUAUAAUAGGUUAUUUUCUCAUUGAAUAUUCAAGACCAAAUGCAAAUCUGGCAUGAGCAGGCUAUAAUAAAAACAAUUUCAAGUAUUUUGGUGUUUGAAAUGCAGUUAUGUGAGCGACUUCUUAUUAAAUUGAGUUUCACUAGGCUGUGAUGGCACCUAAUCACCCUGAGUGCCGCUUUGGCACACUGUGAUACGUAUUUGAGUCACCCUGUAGGAUGAAAAGCUUGUUGAUUUGGUUGCUGGUGAUUAUUAUUAUUAGAACACUAACAGCUUUUUUACAUGUUUUCAUCAGAAGCUGAACUUGUAUCAACUUAAUACCUUCUAAAUAUGAGAAUUCUCUUUCUUCUCUGGUAUUCAGAGGAGGCACUUAGGACCUCCCAGUGUCAGACAGUAAAGCCCUAAGCUGCAAGUGAACUGUUGUUUUCCUUCCUGAGGUGAGCAUGACUUUUUUUAAGAAAAAAACCCCAACAACCUCAUUAAGCAAUUAGUCACUAGUUGUAUUUGCUUAGUUUCAGAGGCAGCAGGAAACACUGGAGUAAAAUGACAGCUAAUGAUCUCCUCCUUUUCACUCUGACACCACAAGUUAGAAAGAAUUUCAGAGGAAAAAGCCCGGCAAUGAGUUUGUGCACUGCAGCUGAUUCUCAAAACUCAAAGGAACGUAACUGGUUUGCUCAUGCUUCUGUAUAUUUUUUGGCAAGUGAAACAUGUGCCCAGCUAUAAAGCCUAGGAGGAGACUAACCAAAACCUGUGUGAAAUUAGUCAGCAUCCGCAGUCAGCACCAUAGUGGAGCAGAAGAAAAACAUGCAGAAAAUAAUUGUCCUGUUCAUCCUGAUGGGUUCUAUUUAAAAAUGUACCAGGAGCAAAGUUGUGCUGUUCAAGUGUAACACUCCAGUUUGAGCUGUGCUCAGUAGCAGAUAUAUUAACAACAUUGGAGGACAUGUCCACUGGGAGUGGUGCAGGGAGAUACACUGUCCUGGGAGAGAUUAAUCCCUGAACACACCCAUUACCAAGAGGGAGCAGUACUGGAAGAGCAGGGACUGAAUCCUGGUUGGGAAUUUUCCACUUGGAUGUGUAAAAGGACUCUUAUUAGCUGUGACAUCUUGUGGUGAUUGGCAGUGUUUCAUGGAAAGAGAUCACUGAAGGUUUUUGCUGCUCCAGACAACUUCAGAACCACUUAAAAACUUCAGUUAAUGCCCAAGGGACAGUGUCACAUCUCAUGGUUCUGGGGCACCUCUGGCACAGCAAGAAGUAGUGAGGACAGAGGAGCAGUGUGACACUGCACCGGAGGAUGCCGUCUGCCUCCCUUUGGAGUGGCUCCAAGGCCUUGCUUGCACACCAACUCCUCAGCUUGUCCUGAGCACUGCCACUGUGUGUUCUCAGACCAGUGGAUCAGCCACCAGAUGUGCUGUACUUCAGCUCCUGCAGCAGAGGAGAGAGGGGCUUUGGCAUCACACUGCAUAGCUGAAGGGAAGGCUGAGGCAGAAGCCACCUCUGCAGUUCUCAGGGUGUAGGAAUGCAGGUGCUCUCUUCAGCGGCAAAGCCAUUUAAAGAAAUUUCUACCUCAGGUCGCUGCUACUCUGUGUCACAGUAUGUCACUAUCUGAAGAGCCUCAGUUACAGGGCCUUGGGUCAUUAUGGUGAAAUCCCUGCUGCAAAGGCCUUAAGAGCUUGUUUGUUCAGCUUUGUUUUGGUUGCAAUCAUUUCACUGUCAACCCUGUUUUCUCCUUAGCAUACCUGACAAAUUUGCAAAUAGAAAUGAGUUGCCAGAAUUCCAAAACUCCCCUUCUGCUGGCUUUACUGUAGAACACAGCUGUGAUCUCCUAUGUAACAAGUGCCUCCUUGGCAUACCAGGCUGAGGGGUCCAGUGGCUCUCACUCAGCAGCAUCAUUCCAGGAGCAGCAAUUUGGUGCCAGUGCAGACAGUAUUUCAAGAUUCUGGCAAUGAUUCCAUCAUUUUAUGGAAGAAUGUUUAGGAGAAUCUUAACUUAACCCUAACCCUAACCCUUGUCUACAUUUAAGACUCUUGAAGGUAUGAUGGUAUUAUUCAUGAUUUGUUGUUACUUUGCCGGCAGUUAUAUUAAUAAAAGCCUUGAUGGAGAAGCA